CACUUGAUAGCACAUGGUGUGCACCUGCUUGAACUAAAUGAGUAAUCUGGGCUUAUGCAGGAGGUCUCGGUUCCAUUCCGGGUCGGGUGA